GAAGAAUGAAGUCUCUGAGUGGUAGAGGGGCGCCCAGUGCUUGCAACUAGCCGACGACCCUCGCUGUGAUCACCAGAAGAACUAGGCUUGCUAUUUGUAAUUACAGCUCUUCUUGAGGAGCUUCCAUAUCGAGAAGAAGAACCACGUCCUCGGUCGUUAUCAGGAUGCACAUCCUCAUAAGCCUUUUGUUUAGAAUGAUCAACAUGUGGACUGGAACUGGAAAUAUUCCUCCUGGA
rnacentral:misc_RNA from 1 species